AGCAUUGCAACAUCAAUUCUCAUCCGAUCACCAAAGUUAAGGAAUGUUGAGCCUGGUCAGUACCUAGAUAGAUGAUCACUUGGGAAUACCAUGUUCUGUA